rnacentral:rRNA from 1 species
UACGGGGGGGGCAAGCGGUUGUUCGGAAUUAUUGGGCGUAAAGAGCGCGUAGGCGGUCCGAUAAGUCCGGCUGUGAAAGUCAGGGGCUCAACCCUUGGAAGCCGGCCGAUACUGUCGGACUAGAGUCCGGAAGAGGCGAGUCGGAAUCCCGGUGUAGCGGUGAAAUGCGCAGAUAUCGGGAGAAACACCAAGGCGAAGGCAGCUCGCUGGGACGGUACUG